UUGUUUUUUUCUCCCUUCCACUCCAUCCAAAUCUUCACUGAUAUCAUUCUUCUGUCCUUAUCUCACUUCUCAACCCUUCUUCCCCUCUCUUCUUCUUCUUGGGUCUGUUCUUCCGUUCUGGAAUUAAGGCAGUCGACGUUUGCAAGUGUAGCAUCAUUAAGAUUCACAUAGUUCGAGCGUCUGUCUCUGCUCUAAUUUGAAGUGAGAAUCUUGAUGAUGCUGCACCAGCAAUAGGUGACUACACCAUGAAAGAAUUGGAUCCCGGAUUCAUGCUCUUAUCUUAUUGAGUUUGCUGUCUGCUUGAAAUUAGAAGAGUUGGGAUCAAGGAAGUUGUAGGAAGGGGCAACGAUCUUACAAGGAAGCUACAAUCAGGGAGAGACAAUUAAAGCAAGAAGAAUCAUGUUGGACCGGAGUGGAACAUAUCAGAAGAUUGAACGUCGAGCCGGAGGAUCAAUCGACAUAUCGGUAGAAGACUUUGGGCCAUGGUUUGGGCAUCGGGCCAAGAAAAGCUAAAAUUAUGGCAAGAAAAUUGGAGUUACGAAGGUUAAUUGGCCAAUUGGGUAAUAGGCCAUAAGAGAGGACGAUGCGCUGAAGAAUCGGAUGAGACGUCGAUGAACCAAUGACAUGCCGGAUAACAUUUGGUUUAGCUUUGUAAUAAUUGUCAAGAUCAAAGUAGGUUUUAGGUGUAAUUGGGUUGGAAUUGGGCCAAUUUAAUUAAGGGCCAAUUGGGCCCAAGUUUGGGGUAUGUUGGGCUAAGUAAAAAGCCCAAAUAGUGACCCAACAGGUGGAAUCGUCGAUGGCACAAUCUCCGAGACUAUGUCAAGCGAUGGUACCACCAGUCUGGGUAGUGGUACUGUCCAGACACAAUCUCUGAGACUAUAAUAAGCGGUGGUACCACCCAAUAACAAGAUGUUAGGUAGUGGUACCGCUAGUUUGGGCAGUGGUACUGUCCAAACACAGUCUCCGAGACUAUAUUAGGCGGUGGUAUCGCCUAGUGGCAGGAUGUCAAGCGAUGGUACCGUUAAACUAGAUGUGAUACCACGUAGUAUUAGUGCUGCAGGCAGUGGUAUUGCCCAGCACUAGCGAUGGUACCGCCAGUACUUGGAAGACCCGGAAUGACACUAGUUUUGGCUCCAAGAUUGAAUCCAUUUGGAGCCUAUGAAUACCCUUCUCAUCCUUGGUUAAGACAUACAAGCACAGAGAACUUAAAAGUGGGAAAAUGCUGUAGCAAUCACUUGAUAGAUUCCCUCAUCUAAUUCUAAAAGUUUAAAUUUCUGUUUAGGGAGGAGUGAGUGCAUGUAAAAGGUUGUCUACUAAAGCUAUGAAAAGGAGAAGAGGGGUGUAAAAGAGUAGUUGAUCUUCGCCCGUUGAAAGAAGAUUGUUAGUGGAUGUCGGUGGCCUCUGUUGAAUCUUAGAUUUUGAUGAUGAAAUCAAUUGGUAAAUUAUUUGAUCUAAUCUAUAUGUUGAGAUA